CCUCUCCAGCCCCUUCCACGGUCCCCGAGACCCCAAACACCGCGCUUCACGGCCUUGACUGGGGGAGGCCAUGGCGGGAGGUCAGGGGAGGCGAAGGCGGAACCGCGCCGGCGGAGGAGGCGGGGUCUCUCCAGGUCCCGCCCUCUUCUGGGAUCUAGCCAAUCGCCACGCGCCCCGAAACACGGCCCCGCCCCCGGCCCUCGGCCUGCGAGCCGCCUGGCCGGUAAUAAUUAAGCAGCGGGGGGCGGGGCGUCGCGUCAGCGCUGGGCACCGACCAAUCAGGAGCACUUCCCGUGUCGCGUCACAGGCCGAGCAACCAAACAGAAAAGUUUACUAAACAGCGGACGAGAGGCCGGCGGCGGCGGCGGCGACGGGACCAGAACGAGCGCGGCGGUUCGUCGGCCUCACCUGUCCUCCUUCACCCGCGGCGUCCGGCGGCGGGCAGCGCGUCCGGCGGAGAGGGCCGCCGCCAGGUGAGGCGAGAAGGCGAACACAAUACCUUUAUUUUUAACCUGUGAGCCGCCUUAGGAUGGUAUUUAUCACCUUGAACUUCUUUCAAGGAGAUCCCGGAGGACUCCGAGCAGUCUGGAAUAGCCACGUCCACCUCUCUGCUCUUCUGGCUCUAGAUCGAGAGUGAUCUCGGUGUUAUACUCGGCCCGGUGCACGAAAUUCACGCACAGCGCGUGUCCGUCCGUCCCACCGUGGAGGACAGCCUGGACCUGACUCCUGAAGUGCCGGGCAUUCAGAGCCGAGAGUCCGUGCAGAGGAUCUUGGGAGGAGACCUGUGAACGGCCUUUCAGUCUGUCCACUUCAGAGGCAGAAUGGCGCCUGCAGCUGUUGGGCUUCUGCAGGGAAUCGCUCCAUAGUCAUGUCUCGUCGCAAUUAUGUGCGUUUCCCUUUCUCACAAAGGCGUCUCUUUUUAUCCAAAACCAGCCCCUAGGCUUUGUGUUCUAGACGUGGAUUUUCUUGGAGGAAAAAUGCUCGCAGGGUUUGAACUUUGAAAACUGUAAACUUAUAUUAAAAAUUCUUUAUAUAAACUUAACGUAUAUUUGAAGAAGAGCCACUUUAAUUUGCUUUCAGUUUGAAUUUGUUUUUAUAACUCAGUCAGAUUUUUUGGUAAAGGUGAAAAAUCGACUUUAUUGAAUGAGGUGAAUGCUCAGUCAGAUAAUGAUUCAUGUCGGAGUCAUAUUUGAUGGGCCAACCUGUUAAAACAUAAGCAGUUCUAACAAAAUAAACAUAUAGUAACAGGUAGCAAAUUUAGUAACGCUUAAAGUGAUACGAGGUCUUUUUUUGUUUGUUUAAAAAUCAGAGUGUCCAUGUGCUCUCUUUAGAAACUAUAGUAAAAAUAACAUUUACUAUGAUUUAGUAGUUUAAGGGGCGUAUACCCUUCAGCUGCGUCUUAGGGCGCCCAUGCCGCCUUAAAGCACAAAAUAGUGUCCGCCCUUAUUUUAAAAAACAACAUAAAUAAACAUCCUCAGCUGCCUACCCGCACGGGGCAUGAGGACGAGUUGCCUUUUCCUGUUCUGGACGCCCACCUGCUGUGCCUCAGUGUGAACCCGGAAAACACACAUCGUCACACCUGUACGUGUGCGAAUAGGGAAGUGACAUUUCUGCCCGACACUUUUCAGUUUUAAGUGGAAAUACCGAUUUUUGGUGUCGCUGCCGAGUUCGCUCUCGUUACACCGAGGACGUACGUAUCAGAAUGUGAUCGGCGGCGUAGACAUCCGUGCGUUGGGGUCGGUAUUUUAAGUGCUGUGUGUUCUCACCUAAGGUACAGUCGUCUCCCGGAGUCUUGGAGGAAACGCUGUUUUGUUCCUCUCUGCGCAGCGUGGCCGUGGAUUUCUGUGGCCGUGGAUUUCUGUGGCCGCUCUAAAAUGUAAACUAUUCAGGCAAAAUGUCAACUCCCUGAAAAGGGGGUCUUCUCGGCUCUGAAAAAUACCAAAUGCUAAAAGCCUCGUGUUCUAAGCAGUUGGUCACCGAACUACAAACUCACGCUGCUUCUGUGAGGUUUUCACGGCUGUUCGUUCAUUUGUUUUUACGCAGACAAAAGAGUCAGCAAAUAGCAGAGGAGGGGGCAGCGGGAACAUUCCGUUCUGUUCCUUUAAGAAACCAGCUUAGCCUGGGGUUUAGUGGGUGUAACCUACCCUGCUAGCCAGGAAAAGUUCUUUAGGAUGAUGGGUAGUGGCCGUGUCCAAUCACAGGCGCCGGUUUCGCCAGCGGGGCGGGGACUUGGCGCCUCGGCCACUGGAAUGGGCGGGGGCGGGGCUUGGCGUGCAGGUUUGGUUGGCCCGGGCACAGCUUCAGUGAAGUUAAUCUGAGGUGAAGCAAACAACAUUGUGGAGGUUUUGUUGGUGACUAAGGUAGUGGUUCUCGAACGUGAACCUGAAACUCCCGUAGGAGCUGGUUGGAGCGUGCUAAUCCUUGGGCUCGGGCUCCAGAAAUGGAGUCAGUCGGUAUGGAGUGGGACACAGAGGUGUGCGUAUUUCUGAUGCUGUUAAUCCGUGUAUUUGAGAAACACCGGUGUAAAGGUUAUAGAGGGAAAUCCACGUUUAGUGAUCAUUUCAGGAAAAGUUGGCUUUUUCAACUUGCUUAGCUCCUGAAAGUGUGACUCAGAGUCCCUUGGGUCUUUGGUUCUGGCUGACAUGAAGCCAGCUCGGUGGGACUUCAGCCUCCGAGCCGUAAAUACAUUGAGGCAGCGUUGGAUCCAGUUGGCCCUCACCCAGCGGAUUUAGGGUCAAUCAAUAAGGAGAACAAUAAAUAAAUAGAGCACAUUGUCGAUGAAGUGGAAACAAUUUCCCCCCCGAAUGCUCAGUGGCUUCAGAGAGUAUGGUGCUUAGUAAUUUAUUCUGUUUUAUAAGGACACAUAGAGAUAGAAGAGAAGAGCCUGUGGGGAAUGGCUGACGUCGGCCUGCCAGACAGUCCACCCGGUACCGCUGACACAGGAGCCUGCAGUUACCAAGGUGGUCUCUGUCCAUAUAAUGCUGGCACCCGAUCAGCGCAGGUUCCGGUGUGGACUCCUGAGUACUUUCAGAGCUGAUGCGCUUCUUCUUUUCCUAAUUAAGGCAGACUUGAAAUUUGAAAAUUUGUCAAAUUACUAGUUUUUUUCAGUAUUAGAAGUAAUAAAAAUAUGCGUGUAGGGUAUUUUAAUGGUGUGAAAAAGAGACUCCUUCAAUUGUGCUUUACAUAUAUACUAGAGGCCUGGUGCACGAAAUUUGU